AUACUUUCCUCGAUAGGGUCAAUGGGCGAUCAGGAAGGCCUAUGGCCUAGGUCAGUGACCUCCAUUGCACAUUAGGAGGGGUGGUGGCCUAAGGUCUCCCCAAGCAGGAGAGCCUAUGUCAUAAUUUGUGGUAGUAGUGGAAGCCUGGGUGCACGCGGCUCCUUC